AUUGAACGCUGGCGGCAGGCCUAACACAUGCAAGUCGAGCGGAUGAAGGGAGCUUGCUCCUGGAUUCAGCGGCGGACGGGUGAGUAAUGCCUAGGAAUCUGCCUGGUAGUGGGGGAUAACGUCCGGAAACGGGCGCUAAUACCGCAUACGUCCUGAGGGAGAAAGUGGGGGAUCUUCGGACCUCACGCUAUCAGAUGAGCCUAGGUCGGAUUAGCUAGUUGGUGGGGUAAAGGCCUACCAAGGCGACGAUCCGUAACUGGUCUGAGAGGAUGAUCAGUCACACUGGAACUGAGACACGGUCCAGACUCCUACGGGAGGCAGCAGUGGGGAAUAUUGGACAAUGGGCGAAAGCCUGAUCCAGCCAUGCCGCGUGUGUGAAGAAGGUCUUCGGAUUGUAAAGCACUUUAAGUUGGGAGGAAGGGCAGUAAGUUAAUACCUUGCUGUUUUGACGGUACCAACAGAAUAAGCGCCGGCUAACUUCGUG
rnacentral:rRNA from 1 species